ACAAAAACAACAAACACAAUGAAUCUCUUCAGCAACUUCAUCUGGAUUCUGGCAGCUUUUAUUCCAGCAUCCAGAGGAAUCACUGUGACUCAGCCUGAAGUUCUGACUGUUUCUGAAGGACGAGACGUCACUAUAGAGUGUAAAACUGAUGCU